AACGCUGGCGGCAUGCCUAACACAUGCAAGUCGAACGAAGGCUUCGGCCUUAGUGGCGCACGGGUGCGUAACGCGUGGGAAUCUGCCCCUUGGUUCGGAAUAACAGUUAGAAAUGACUGCUAAUACCGGAUGACGACGUAAGUCCAAAGAUUUAUCGCCGAGGGAUGAGCCCGCGUAGGAUUAGCUAGUUGGUGUGGUAAAGGCGCACCAAGGCGACGAUCCUUAGCUGGUCUGAGAGGAUGAUCAGCCACACUGGGACUGAGACACGGCCCAGACUCCUACGGGAGGCAGCAGUGGGGAAUAUUGGACAAUGGGCGAAAGCCUGAUCCAGCAAUGCCGCGUGAGUGAUGAAGGCCUUAGGGUUGUAAAGCUCUUUUACCCGGGAUGAUAAUGACAGUAC
rnacentral:rRNA from 1 species